rnacentral:rRNA from 1 species
AGUGAACGCUGGCGGUAGGCCUAACACAUGCCAGUCGAACGGCAGCACAGUAAGAGCUUGCUCUUACGGGUGGCGAGUGGCGGACGGGUGAGGAAUACAUCGGAAUCUACUUUUUCGUGGGGGAUAACGUAGGGACACUUACGCUAAUACCGCAUACGUCCUACGGGUGAAAGCAGGGGAUCUUCGGACCUUGCGCGAUUGAAUGAGCCGAUGUCGGAUUAGCUAGUUGGCGGGGUAAAGGCACACCAAGGCGACGAUGCGUAGCUGGUCUGAGAGGAUGAUCAGCCACACUGGAACUGAGACACGGUCCAGACUCCUACGGGAGGCAGCAGUGGGGAAUAUUGGACAGUGGGCGCAAGCCUGAUCCAGCCAUACCGCGUGAGUGAAGAAGGCCUUCGGGUUGUAAAGCCCUGUUGUUGGGAAAGAAAAGCAGCAGGUGAAUACCCCGCUGUUCUGACGGUACCCAAAGAAUAAGCACCGGCUAACUUCGUG